rnacentral:lncRNA from 1 species
AGCACAAAUACAACUUUCUUAUAGUUUAUUUGUGUUGGUUAAAUAGAAAAAACAGUUCGGUUAAAUAAUAAUAAGAUAAUUAUUAUUAUUAUUGUGUUGACUCUAGUGUAAAAGUCCAUGACACGUGUUCUACGACAAAAUUACGCAAUGUGACUCGACGUUGUCAAGCUUUAUCGCUAGCUGAAUGACGCAAUCUUUUUCAUCAGCGGUAAACAUUCUGUAGUGAAAUUAAUGUUUGCUUAGCAAUAAACAUUAGAUUUACCUAAAAUUACAAAGACAUAAUGGGUAGAUUUAAGAAAAAUGAAAUUGUAAAUUCUGGUAUUUUGCAAUUAUUAGAUAUACUUUGUCUUUAGAAGAUGAAUUUAAUGUGUAAUUGGUGUCAGCUGGAAUUUCAAUGGUGCGAUGAUUGGAAAUAUUGAAAUGGUCUUAAAUUUCUGAAGAGAAAACUCUCUUGGGGAUCAGUUAGAUUAGUAGUGGGCACACCCCGUUAUGCAUUGGCAAUAUACAAUAGAGAGAUAUGAUAUAACCAGCAAAAAGACGUGUUCCCCUGAAAAUUUCUUAUACACUCCUAAAGGUAUAAAUAGAGAGAUGAUAUGAGCACUCCUGAAAAUUUCUUACACUUCCCUAGGAGUAUACAAUAAGGAGAUAUUAUGACCAGCAAAAUACAUGCACCUCUGAAAAUUUCUUAUAUGCUCUUAGGGGUCUAGGAUGUGUAAGAAGUUUUCAGAGGGUUCUUGCUGGUCAUAACUCUCUGUUGUAUAUGGUUAGUGCAUACUGUUACUGACAAAGAGGAGCGCAGUUAAAAAAUUUGAGGACUGCUGAAAUUAGAUCAUUAGUAGAUUUUUAUGAAAUUCGGUAGGCACGUUCUGCCAUUAAAGUUGACCUCGACGCUGCAUUUUUAACCCGUUAGCCUCAACAGUUUAAAAAAUGGCAAAUAUCCAAACUUCUAAGAUAUCUUCUUGUUAUUUAUCCAACUAAUUCGAUGGUUUUUUUUUUUUUAAGAAAUUUAGCAUGUCGAUUACGGGAGGAAGUCACAUUUAACUCUUUCAGCAUUUAAAAAUGGCUGACGUUCGAAAUUACGAAAUUAUUCCCUAAUGACUUUUGAACUGUUUAAUUUUUAUGAAAUUCAAUAAGGUGUUCGUGACAAUAAAGAUGACCUAGAUGAUACUUUUAUUACAGCACGUUUAAACAUUCCAAAAUAGCAAACAUGCACGGAAAUUAGGCCGUCACUUAUUUCCAAAAACUAUUCCGAACGAUAUCCAUCAGUAUUUUUUUCUUCAACAAUUAUUACUAAAAAAAAAAAAAAAGUUCGAUGAAAGUUCGUCAUCUAAAAUGCAUUAGACUGGCGAAUUUAUGUAUAGCGCUGGCGAUAUAGCUUGAAUAAUAGAAUAUUGUCACAUAGCAACAAAGCGUGACAUAAGGAAGUUGUUUCCGCCUAUUAUGCGAUAUUGACGUGAUGCAGAAAUUGUUAAUACAGUGCUUACCACGAAAGAUUGAUUUAUUAUAAUCGGGACGUUGAGUGAAAUGGCAUUAAAUUACAGAUUUAACGAACACUUCGCUAUAUUCCACUCGUGAUUCCUGACCCCAGUUUGACGUUAGAUACGAUCUCCCCUAAUUAGAUUCUCUUAUACAGAUUCGAAUGCCUGCCUAAUUGUGCUUAACGAUAAACAGGUGAAGGUCGCAGUGGGACUCGAGUUCAUUCGGGUCUGUUUUGGAGCAGAUCGGAAAUACGGCUGAGGUUAAAAAAUCACAAAGAAAAUGUAAGCAAAAGAAUGAUUAUAAAUUCUACGUUGUAGGUAAUAAGUAACAGGAAUGCAUUGACAACGACUGGUUAACCUUUAGGAAUUAAUGAGUGAUUGUUUAUCAGGAAUAGCGUGCUAACUAAAUAUUGAUCAUCCGAGUUAAGAGCAAAUUGAUCGUAUCGCUAUUUGUUUCGAAUUUAAUUAACUGUAGAGGAAGUAAACCUUAAACUUUUAAAAGAAAGGACCAGUAGCCUUGAUCCGGCACGAAAAUGGCCAAGAGAGCAAUUAUUCCUCGUUGAAACUAUUCACAGGCAAUAAACCGAUUUAUUUUCGCAUUAUAUGCGUUUUAGAGAACAGUUUGUUUUCGUUUCUGUUGGAUUGCGAAAGAAUGUUUUCUUGCUCUAGAUUACUUAAAAAAGUGACAGUACUUGAUAAACAGGGUCGUGACAAUUAAAAGGAAAUCAUCCGAAUAACAUUCGAGCGAAGGUUGGUUUUAAUUUCCUAGUUGCGUUCACAGAUGGCGCUAUGUUCUUUCUUCCACUCGGCCACCUUGUUUACUCUAUGGACAUCCUUGACAGCGACGAGGUCGAGCCGUCGAUGACGCAAUUCGGUCUGCAACGUUUUGCUGAAAUUUUGUUCUUUUUCGAACUUGUUUCGUAAGAAUGCAAUUUCGUCAUUCAUAAAAAAAAGAGAGAGAGAAAUGUGGGAUAAUAUGGUUUUUGCAAUUUAAAUAUCGAGAGCGGAGGAAAGAAGAGACAAGAAUGGUUUCCGGAAAUAAACGAUGGGAUCAGCGCUAUCUAGUCGGACAGAAAUAGGAGUAACCCAAACAAGUUCCUGGAAAGCGGUGGUUACGUCUGGAGCAGACGAAACAAAUGAAAGAAUCCAAACAAACAAAAUUUAUGAAGACCUUCGCUCCGAUUCAACGAGCGUUGAGUCCAAAAUUCCCGGGAGACGAUCGAAUUUCUUGGCUUUAAUCCAAACAAACCGAACCUUCGUUCAACUUUCACCCCUUCUCUCGUUUGCUGUUUACUAACGGGCGACUCGCGCUUUAUUCUAUUUAUAAACUCUUAUUUGCGUCCUUGGCUACAAAAAUCCUGUUUUUGAAGUUUAUUUAUCAUUCCAGUUACACUUUACUCGUCGUUUCUCGAUAUUUUAUUCUCGGUUCCGUUCUCUCGUAGCCCACUGUGUCGUGUCCUUUUAGGAAAUGAACCGCUCGGUAACAGCGAGGAAAAACGUGACGGGUGAUAAGUUAUAACCCCAAAUCGGCACGCUUUUUUUUAGUCUUUUUUUUUUUUUUGUUUGUUUACUCGUAAAAAGUAAAUAAAUUAAUUUAAUUAUAAAGAAAAUGAAAAUAUAGAUAUAUAAGAAACAAAAUUAUUAGAGAAAUUUUGUGCCUAGGGCCCUCAAGCCGGAUUCUGUUCGUGUUUAACCCUGGAGAAUUUGUUUAUAAUGAGAAUCUCGGCGGUGGCCCGCUUUGAAUUAAAAAAAUCCUUCCCUGUGUUCUGAGCUUUUGAAAAGAAUCCAUACCUCGCUGUGCAAUGAAUAAACAGAAUUCCAAGAAAAAUUAGACUAGAUUCACGACCGCUGUCGACCUUACCAUGCCAACGCAUACCUUCUAAGUUUGAUUGAUACCCAUUAGUUCAACUGUAAAAAGUAAAAGAAAAUUUACUAGAUUUAUGCACGUAAAAUCCCGCAGAUUUAUUUUAGGAAUGGUUUUUUUUUUAUUUAUUUUUUCCUUCUCGAAUUUUUCCGGAUCAAAUCAGAUUUGUAGGCUGUGAGUGAACUCUCUACUCGAUGAUAAUGUUACUCCUACGUUAUGCAAAGCGUUUAAAAAGAAAAAAAAAGCUGUGGUUUCGAAGGUAUUUUUAGCUUCGGUUAAUUAAUUUUAUUUGUUAACACAAGAAGUAUUGGGAAAAUGCUAACAGAAAUAUCCCGUUCUGACCAAUUUCGAUCCGGUGACAUCUCUGAAAAAAAUAAAAUAAAAUUGUCAACCAGUAUCUUAGUCGCAUCGUCGCGGAAAGAGAAAAUUCGAUUGGAUUCCGCUUGACAAAUUCCCUCACCUUUAACCAACAAGUUUUUUUUUUCCGACGACAAAAACUGUAAUUUCAGUCACUGAUUGAAAUAGGUGGGAACAACCGCCAACUGAACUCUGCCAAAAAUGUCAAAUCAAACAAGUAUUCUUCCAGCGUUGAUUCUUAGCAAAAGGAACGAGCGACGGAUUUUGGAACCAACCCAAGAACCGACUUUGUCAUCAAUCCCGAAAUUGGCCAAAUCCAACACAAAAUAUAAAGAAUCCGUUCAGUUUUUCCCUGACUUUUUUCUCGAAAACAUUCAAUCCAUCGACAACAUACACGCAUACACACACACAUAUUUAUAUAUAUAUAUAAGCAGAUGUGAUAAAUGGCAUAAUAACUAACUGCAGACGGGGCCCAGUUAUGGGAUGCAGAAACCCUCAAAUGCUUCUUGCAGAUAAGCUUUGUUUUUCCAGAAUUAAGAUAUUCAGCGAGCGAUAACCAUUUAAUGUGUGAGAUCUCUAUAGGGCGAACGAGGGGUCCGAUAGCCUAGCGAGAUACGAGUAAUUGAGCUAGGAAAUAGGUCAGACAACAGCCAUUGUUGCCAUUGCUAGAUGGCAAGAGUGACUAUCAUUACAUUUGGCUAGUGAUAGCGCGACUAUAACCCACCCGCACCGUCUAUUGAAAUAGUCACGAUUCUGGCCUCUCUCUCUAGACCUGAUAGAUAUCGCAUCUAUUAGAAUGCAUGCAUCGUACCUGUCGUAAAAAGGUGCGGUACCAUCCACACCCAUACGCCACUUCGGUCGACGGGAUGGUUUUUCGGUCGCAGCUGUACAAGCAGCGACAGGUAAUUAGAUAGUCGUAGCUCACCUGCGUCGGGGGACGAUGCAGAAAGUUGUUAAUUUAAUUUAGUUGAGUGUACGAAAGCGACUGGUAACGCGCGCUUUCGGCACAAAAGGGUUUAGAGGCCGAUUCUUUCGGUUUUCAUUGUUCGCCCAGCUCAUCAUCUCUAUACUAUUUUCGUUCGAACGGGUGGGACGGAAUAGGGGAUACUCGCGGAUCAUUUGUAACGCAAUUAGAGCAAGAGGCGAUAUAAGAUAUAUUUAGCGACAUAUGUUCCGAGUUUGGGGAAGACCGAAAACGAGAUGGCGAAGUCAUGCCAAUGCAUCCGCUGGCUCCGCGCCAAUGCGACCCCCGUCCCCAUAACGCCGCCCCCUUUCUUCGUCUGAAAGGAAAAGCGAACGGCCCGUAGACGACGACAGUAUAUGGUCCGCUCGCACGCACGCACGCACCAAUCUUGACAUUGUCUGCUUAUCCAAUCGGAACCUGUAGCGAGAGAGAGUUGUUCUUUAAAUAGCGACGCGCGAGCCGUGCGUGACGCGUCGCUAUUAAUUCGCGUAUGUCGCACGGUAUGGAUGGUAUCGAACCGUUUUAUGCGUAGCGCCGUCACGGUCACUUUAAUUCGGGAUAAUCGGCCGGAAUCGACGUCAUUUCCGCCAGCACACUCCUUAAAAAACAAAAAAGUUCGAUCGAAACAAUGAGAAAGUUUGCAUCCCGUGCCCAAUGGGGCGAUAUCGACUCUUCUGCUCCUACAACGCUUUCGGGAUGAUGUUCGUUAAAUCGAUUUUACAUUUCUCUAUUUUUCCAACUGCUUUUUUUCUGGCCAAACGCACUCGGGAUUAGCCGCCACCCGACCAGUUGUGUGUGCCGUGUCAGAACCGAUAGUUGAUGACUUCCGGUGUGUGUGGGUCGAACAUCCGGUUCGAGAAAUGUCUUUGCGGCGGGAAAUAAGUCGAGACGUAGUUUAGUAAGUCGAUCUUAAGUUCUCGAGAUUGUUUGGAAGACACCGCAUACACACACACACUACACACCUCAUCCGUCACUGCUAGCGACUGGCGCGUACUUGUGUGUACCAUCUUCAUCUUCUGUAUUUACCAACAGUCAUUUUUUUUAAUUAAUCCGCGCGGAAAUCGGCAGAACUUUCUUAUUUCAAUCAUCUGACGUGUAUCUCGAUUUUUGCAAACUUUCCUUUUUGCUGGGACGUGUAUGAAGAUGCCGAACAGCCACAUAAAUUAAUACAAAACUAAACAAAUAGCGCACAGAUAUUACUGGCAUGCUGCCAGAAAGGUACCGAGUACGCGUACAUCUUCAGAUGGGAUAUUUCCACUAUUUUGUUACGCAUCUGGCCCUACUGUGUGUGUAUGUUUGCAUGUGUGUGUAUAUGUGUGCAAGGGGAAUACCGUAACAACUUUCAACAGGUGGUAGAGAAAGGUGAUGAUAAUAAGCCGACAGUGCCGAACCGUUUAUAGCUCGGAUUAUUAAAAUGAUUUUAUUAUUAAAAUCUACAAAUGGCAACCGUCGUUCGGUAGCAAUCAGAAUUCCCACUUCCAGAAAGGGACAACCCGCCUAAUUAAAAUCUUUCAUCGACAGUUUACUCGCAAUUUAUUACGUAUCGUCAGUUUUAAAUCGUAUAAGCAAUUUUGCUCGGAUGUGUAAUUGGGUUUUUAAACGGAUUAUAGGACGAGGAAACGAGUCUGUGCAAACAAGGAAAGUAUCCGGGACGACGAAUAAUAAUAUGCUAAUGGAUUUUAACCUAUCUACAGUUUGCAUUUUGGUUUAAAUCCUUUUAACACUAUAGUCAACGCCUAAUAGGUUGCGUUCCAGUCGUUCCGGUUAAUAGUGAACGGCAAUCAUGCAAACUGCGAUCUUGCGGAACGGCUGAAGCUGUCUCUCGUCUGUUCGACACGCAAAUAGCUACAGAGGGAUGGUGUGGCUUUUUGCGAUUCUUCAUCUCUCUCUCUCUUGAGUGUAUGUGUGUGUGUGUAUAUAUAUUUGUGUGUGUAUGUAUGUGUGUGUGUGCGCUUC